GAUGAACGCUGGCGGCGUGCCUAAUACAUGCAAGUCGAGCGAACAGACGAGGAGCUUGCUCCUCUGACGUUAGCGGCGGACGGGUGAGUAACAUGUGGAUAACCUACCUAUAAGACUGGGAUAACUUCGGGAAACCGGAGCUAAUACCGGAUAAUAUAUUGAACCGCAUGGUUCAAUAGUGAAAGACGGUUUUGCUGUCACUUAUAGAUGGAUCCGCGCCGCAUUAGCUAGUUGGUAAGGUAACGGCUUACCAAGGCAACGAUGCGUAGCCGACCUGAGAGGGUGAUCGGCCACACUGGAACUGAGACACGGUCCAGACUCCUGCGAGAGGCAGCAGUAGGGGAUCUUCCGCAAUGGGCGAAAGCCUGACGGAGCAACGCCGCGUGAGUGAUGAAGGUCUUCGGGUCGUAAAACUCUGUUAUUAGGGAGGAACAAAUGUGUAAGUAACUAUGCACGUCUUGACGGUACCUAGUCAGAAAGCCACGGCUAACUACGUG
rnacentral:rRNA from 1 species